UGUUCAUGUAUAUAAACAUAUUACUUUGUGGAUUAAUUAAUGUUUACUUAGCGGAGCACCCUCGCUUGCUCUGUGCCGUAAGGUGUCUCAUGUUUUUUUUCCCUUUCGUUGACGAAGUCUUUCGAUGUGUACUUGUGUGUGUACGUGAAAGCUAAGCACGAGAGUUGCCCUCGAAGACUCAAGACACUCAAUUCUCCAUCCACUCCCACUCUCCAUUGCAAGAGAGCACUGCAUCACAUGUGCAAAGAAAGAAGAGCAAACAAAAUCAGUGAGCGCCUAUUGUCGGCGCGCUCUCGAUCUACAUACAUACACACAUUGCUCGAACACAUAUGUAUGUAAGUGUCAGCAAUAGGUGACAACAGGUUAAAAAUGUAACAGAUCGAAGAAGAUAAGAGGCUUAAAUACAGCAUGGAAACAGCAAGUAAAGAACAGAAAGAAUGCAGCGAGGAGAACUACCAGCGCAUUAUUAUAGGCAAAAGGAAAGAGAACAAAGCUUUUGUUUCUGCUUUUCUUUUCGCUAUAUAUAUCGUUUUUUGUCAGUCAAAAUGCACGAAAAAUUAACCCAGAAAGUAUUGGAGUUCUCCGAGCCUUUUUAAGCGGUUCAGUUUUGUAUAUAACUUUGAGAAGAUAUCUGCAUAGGCAGACAGACUUUCAGUUCAUCUCUAAGAUACUUUUGCUUGUAGAUGACAGGCCAAUUACUUGUCCUCCUAUUCCCACCACCCCUUUCUGUAAAACCUUCCGCUAAACUCUAAAACUAAUCUCCUUUGAAAUCAAUGUUAAAUAAAUUAUCUGCAACUAUUUAGCAAUAAAUUAAUCUUCAUAAAUCACAAAUCAACAUCAGAGACGACAACCUGCAAAGGUAGGGGCUGGGCGGGGGCCUAGGGAAAAACACUCUCCAAGGUGUUCCAUGAACUACAUUAAAUUAGAAACGAGGCGUCGUCAGGAUUCCGUAUAAUGACAAAAGCAAUUAAUUUUGUGUGUGCCCGGGCGAAUCGUACGGAAUGGAACGGAACGGAGCGGAGCGGAAAGCAAACACCCAUGCCUCUCUCCCCCCUGCCCUUUUUUGGACACACAACACACAAUCAAAAUUCCACAGGAGAGGAGGUCGUAAGCUCCUCCCGGGGAGGGGAGCUCGAGCUCCCGUUCGAAAGCUUUGCAAUUAAUUAUGCGAAUCUGACGAAUCUUCCUAAGCGUCGAGAGCAACUCUUCGACUUGA